rnacentral:lncRNA from 1 species
UUGAAAUCGUUGUUGUACGGCCUUAUCUACUCACAUUGCCUACACUAAUUGAAAACUCUUCUCCUUUUCUUCUAUACUUCAAUUUUUUUUUCAUGAAAUAACUUUGAAUGUCACAAAUCUACAAACUAAAUUCAAAUAGCUUUCUUCUUUAAUCUUUGACAUUGACUAUCAGACCAACUUGGAUCUAAGGUAUGUUUUUCUACUUGUCAAUGGGUACUGAGCCACCAUACCAAUUGUCGAAUUGUCGUAUGGAGCUCGUUAGUCGGACUUUUUUUUGAAAACAAACUUAACAACCUAGUGACUUAAAUAAUUUUUUUUGAAUAUUUCAGUAACUUGAAUGGGAACUUUUUGAAUAGCUCAAUGACUAAAAUUGUUUGUAUUUAAAAAUUUAAUAAAAGAAAAAGGCGAGGGACAACUUACAUCGAUGUAAAAUUUAAAUGGUUUUACAUCCUUUCGUAACUUUUUUUUAUAUGAUUAAUAUUUUAACAAUCCAACCAUUGAAUUUAUUAAGAUAUUUGUACUUGUAAUGCAUAUAAAUUUUUGAAUCAACCUGAUAUCUCUAUCAUAUCGAUUUAAAAUAUUAGUUAUAAAAAUAUAUAUUUAACGGUUGAAAGCUUUUCAAAAAAUGAAUAGUUAGAAAUUUUUAAUUUAUGUCAAACUUAACAUGCAUAAUGUAAUGAGCCAUUUUUGCUUGGGCCCAACCAAAACACAAACCAAAAAUCAAAUAUAAAAUUAAUAGUCCAAAGUUCAUUUUAAACAAAUGUGGCCCAAUACUAGCCUAAAUGACACAAACCCUAAGGCCUAACGGCCUAAACUAUUGUUAGAAAAAAGGAAAACCCUAGCUUUUGGCACCGUUCCUCCCCUGAAGGCACACCGCCUGAGGUCUGGCGCUCCUGCCGCCAUUGCGCCCAAAUAGCCUGGGUCCACUUCCCAUCGCCUCCACCUCCACCUGCAAACAAAGAGAGAAAAAAGACAGCAAACACAAACAUGCAACAGUAAUGAAAACAGUAGAAAGAAACAGUAAUGAACAGUGCAAUUCAUGGCUAUAAAAGCCAAUACCAUGGAUUGUAAUUUUUUACGAAGAAAUAUACAAAAAAAAAUCAAUCGAAAUAUAGAAUAAAAAACUCUAAAGGUGAUCCCCUUUUUAUUUUUCAUUCUUUUUUAAAACUGCUAUUUAUAUAUAUAUAAAAGAGAAGACUCACUUGGCGUUCGGUGUUUCGCCACCGUGAGCGGCCAAGGUCGUCACCGCUGAUGAACAAUGACUCCUUUUACGUUGAAAAGUUUUUUAGAACCCUAAAAUUGAAGGGUUCUUUGCCUUUUUGGUGACUUUUGGCUAUUUUCUAAAAAAAACUGACUCCAGAUUUGGAUUCUAGGAGUCAAGAAUGUCAAAGGGGAGUUUUUUUGAAAUUUUCCAGUCGCUGGUCGAAUGUAGGGAGACUAGAAAAAAAAAAGGCUUUGAAGAUUUUUUUUUAAAAAAAAACUUUGGCAAAAUGAUUUUUUUUUUAAAUUUGGCUUAUAUAGACGCCACUAAAUGACGUCGUUUAGGGCUAGUUUCAAUAGCCCCAAAACAGCGCCGUUUCGGAGCAGGACCAGUUUGCCCGACCCGAAUCCCUGAGAUCCGUGUGUUUUAAAAAUGGCCUAAUUGCGCCUUUGGUCCUUGCACCUUUGGUCAUUUCGCUUUUGCGUCCCGUUUCAAUCUAGUCCUAUAUUUUUUUAUUUCUUUUGAUUUUGGCCAUUCUAUUUCAUUUUGUUUUCACUUUGGUCCUUAGAUCAUUUUUGGGAAACACCCGAAACGAUGUCGUUUCGAGGCUGACCCAAAGUCCGACCUAACCCGAUCCAAGAAUCCACGUGUUUUUUUACAAUGGUAUAUUUACAAUUUCAGUCCUUCCGCAUUUUGAGUUGUUUUAAUUUAGUCCUGAUUUCACCAUUCUUUCUAUUUAGAAAUUUUGCCAUUCAAUUUUAUCUUGUUUUCAAUUAAGUCCUUGGUUCAUUGAUCUUCUGGAGAAAGGACACGUGUCCUGAGGGUUGGGAUAAUUUUGCAUUUAGUCAUUGUGUAUUUUCGCGCUUUUCAUUUUAGUCUUUAUUUACUUAUUUUAUCAUAAUUUUUACUUUUAACUUCAUUUUCAUUCUGAUUCAGUCCUUGGUCUAUCCAAUUUCAAUUUUUUUAUGAAACUUUUUAUUUAUUUAUGUAUUUAUUUAUCAUUCUUUUACCUUUUUUUAUCUAUUUAGAUCUUAUCUUAUCUAUACUUGUUUUACCUAUUUAUUUAUUAUUUAUUCAUUCCUUUGUUUCUUAAAUACUUAAAUUUAAUGUUAUUUGUUUUGUCCAUUUAUUUAUUACUCUUUUACUUUUUAAAUAUUUAAAUUUGAUAUUAUUUAUCUUUCCUUUCAUUUUUAUUUUUUUAUUAUUUCAAGUUAUUUUAUUUUGUUAUUAAUGCCAUGAAUUAAUAUUCUUAUUGUAACAUUAUUAUUACAUAUUGACAUUGCAUUAUUAUUAUUCUUCAUUAUAUUAUUAAAUAAAAUAUUAAACAUGUCAUAAUCAUUAUAGUUAUUAUUAUAAUUAAUCUGUGUCGCAUUAUUACGAUUAAAUUAUUGUGAUCUCAGCUACCUAUUUUUUUUUCAUGAUCAUUUCGAUUUUUCUUCUCUUUAUUCACGUAGCCAUUUUAUUUUUAUUUUAAUAUUCCUUAUAAUAUUUUCCCUUAGGUUUAGACACAUUUAUUUGUUUCCUCAUUAUGCUCAAUUGAGUAUCAUAUUAAAUGGUGAACCCAUUUUUUAUACGACUUAUAAGAAAUAAUUAAAAUUAAGACAAUGUUCUUUAUUUUCGGAAUUAGAAGAGUCGUGUUCCUAACUUACGGAAUAUGGCUUCCUCCUCACACUGAAAUAGUCGAAUAUAUAUUUCAAAAAUAAAAAAAAGGAGAUUUAAGUAACAAUCAAAUAGAGCUUAUUCUUGUUUUCAAGAAUUCAAAGUAUCGUGUCCUAACUUACGGGACAUAGUCUUUAUUCUCGAUCAACUUGAAAUAAACCAUUUUUGCGAAAAUAAUUUUAGUUAAGUGAUGCCUUCAUACGAAAAGGGGUUGUGUUUUAAACUCUCUUCAAAUUUUCAAUUCUCGAUGUUAGGACAUCAAGUAAUCAAUUAGGUACCAAUUUUGGGCGUAACGAGGGCGCUAAUCCUUCCUCGUGCGUAGCCGACUCCCGAACCCAUUUUCUGGACUUUUGAAGACAAAAAAUCAGUGUCUUAGUGAAUCAAGCCUUUUAUUAAAACAACCAAAUUACGAGGUGAUUCGAUUACACCUCAUAAAAAAAAUUUGUGGCGACUCCCAUUUUUAUUUUUUAAUAAAAGUCAAUUUUAAAAAAAUAGGUUUUGACAGCUUGGCGACUCCAUUAGGGACAAAAUAAUAGAAUCAAGCCGUGAGUUGAUUACUUUUGUUCUUUUUGUCAGAAAUUUAUAAUUUUGUUUAAAUUUACGAUCCCUUCAUUGCAUUUCAUCCUUCAUGUUUUGAUAUCUCGGGUUGUAUAGUGAUUUAGGAUAUCUAGUUUAUUGGUUAGAAAGUCUUUUUGUGUGCUUGCCACAUAUUGCAUUGCAUAACUGUUCGAUUUUACCCUUUUUAAGUGGGAGUGAGAAACUAUUCCUUCGUGAUGUCUUCAUUUCCGUAUAGCAUAGUGGAUUGCUUUCGGGAUACAUCCGUACCUAUGUCUUCGUAAGAUCUUCAUCUCCGUGUAGCCAUAGGGAAAUGUAUUCCCCUGAAUUGAACUCGAUCCGUGUGAGCCUAUAAUGGGUGAGGAUAGAGGAAUCUGUCAUUUCAGGUACCCUUACUUUAGAACUAAACCGCAUAUAAUGAGCCCUAAGAACUCACCCUAGGUAGAACCACACCCAAACCCCUAGUGGUCACCCGAAUAGGUACUCUAUUUAUUAUUUCUUGCUUGCUUUAAAUUCUAGCUUUGUAUGAAAUGUACUGACUGUUUUGUUUUGUUUUGACUGAGAUUGAAUUACAUUUUCAUCAUAGAAAAGGCUGUUGAUUCACGUUCAGUUGCUAAAUAGAGAGUUUGACAUAUAAAAGGGGUUUCUUGAUAAAGUGGAAGACAACACGUCCGCGCGAAUAUGGUCUGAGAAAAGGCAACAAGAGAAAGGUGACAGCCUAUGAGAGGGGCAGGUCAAAGAUAUGGACCAUAUUAUGAGCGAAGUUUUGGUCCGAGUACGAGAAGUGGCUGACCACUUGCAGACCCUAGCCGUUCAAAGCCUGAAAUAUGAAUUGGAGUCAGAUCGGGGUUGAGAAUUAGCUUUGUUUCUUGGGAAAGUCAAGGUUUUUAGUGUGAAGGCGAGGCCGU